rnacentral:rRNA from 1 species
GACGAACGCUGGCGGCGUGCCUAAUACAUGCAAGUUGAGCGAUGAAGAUUGGUGCUUGCACCAAUUUGAAGAGCAGCGAACGGGUGAGUAACGCGUGGGGAAUCUGCCUUUGAGCGGGGGACAACAUUUGGAAACGAAUGCUAAUACCGCAUAACAACUUUAAGCAUAAGUUUUAAGUUUGAAAGAUGCAAUUGCAUCACUCAAAGAUGAUCCCGCGUUGUAUUAGCUAGUUGGUGAGGUAAAGGCUCACCAAGGCGAUGAUACAUAGCCGACCUGAGAGGGUGAUCGGCCACAUUGGGACUGAGACACGGCCCAAACUCCUACGGGAGGCAGCAGUAGGGAAUCUUCGGCAAUGGACGAAAGUCUGACCGAGCAACGCCGCGUGAGUGAAGAAGGUUUUCGGAUCGUAAAACUCUGUUGGUAGAGAAGAACGUUGGUGAGAGUGGAAAGCUCAUCAAGUGACGGUAACUACCCAGAAAGGGACGGCUAACUACGUG